rnacentral:rRNA from 1 species
AUUGAACGCUGGCGGCAGGCCUAACACAUGCAAGUCGAACGAGUGGCGGACGGGUGAGUAAUGUCUGGGAAACUGCCCGAUGGAGGGGGAUAACCACUGGAAACGGUAGCUAAUACCGCAUACCAUCGGAUGUGCCCAGAUGGGAUUAGCUAGUAGGUGGGGUAACGGCUCACCUGGGCGACGAUCCCUAGCUGGUCUGAGAGGAUGACCAGCCACACUGGAACUGAGAAACGGUCCAGACUCCUACGGGAGGCAGCAGUGGGGAAUAUUGCGCAAUGGGCGAAAGCCUGAUGCAGCCAUGCCGCGUGUAUGAAGAAGGCCUUCGGGUUGUAAAAUACUGUCAGCGAGGAGGCGUUACUCGCAGAGGAAGCCCCGGCUAACUCCGUGCCAGCCGCCGCGGUAAUAC